rnacentral:rRNA from 1 species
GGGUGCGAUCAUACCAGCGUUAAUGCACCGGAUCCCAUCAGAACUCCGCAGUUAAGCGCGCUUGGGCUAGAGUAGUACUGGGAUGGGUGACCUCCCGGGAAGUCCUAGUGUUGCACCCUUCCCCCCUUUUGCAUGGCUCCGCGAUGGAUCGGGGCGCUUUUAAGCCCUCCCCCGCGGCUCGGUGAUGUCCAUUCAAGAGGGGGAGGGGGCCUGAUCCUUGC